UACGUAGGGUGCGAGCGUUAAUCGGAAUUACUGGGCGUAAAGCGUGCGCAGGCGGUUGGUUAAGUCUGGUGUGAAAGCCCCGGGCUCAACCUGGGAAUGGCAUUGGAAACUGGCUAGCUGGAGUGUGGCAGAGGGGGGUGGAAUUCCGCGUGUAGCAGUGAAAUGCGUAGAGAUGCGGAGGAACACCGAUGGCGAAGGCAGCCCCCUGGGCCAACACUGACGCUCAGGCACGAAAGCGUGGGGAGCAAACAGG
rnacentral:rRNA from 1 species